rnacentral:rRNA from 1 species
ACAUAGCUAACUGAUUUAAAUAGUUAGUGUAGCCUGCCCACUGACUCUAAGUUGAAGGGCCGCGGUAACUCUGACCGUGCUAAGGUAGCAUAAUCACUCGCCGCCUAAUUAGCGGAUGGAAUGAAUGGCUGAACGAGCCUCUCUCUGUCUCAGUAUCGGAUCAAGUGAAAUUAAACUAGUUGUCAAGAUGCAACUGAUUCUUGGAAAGACGAGAAGACCCCGUGAGCUUUACUCUAACCCUUCUAACAGUGAAACGAGAGAAGUGAAAGGAGUUUGGUUGGGGCGACCUCCCAAACAGAAGAAACUUGGGAAAACAAAGGUAUAGGUAAUUGAAAACAACUUAACAGGUAGGGUAACACCCCAGCCUGAUAGUAUAGACUAGGUUAUAGUGAUCCACCUUCUAAUGAAGGUGUAAAUGAAUAAAAGUUACCACGGGGAUAACAGGGUAAUCUUAUCCUAGAGUUCCUAUCGAAGAUAGGGUUUGCCACCUCGAUG